UACGUAGGGGCCUAGCGUUGUCCGGAAUUAUUGGGCGUAAAGAGCUCGUAGGCGGUUCGGCAAGUCGGAUGUGAAAUCUCCACGCUUAACGUGGAGGGGCCAUUCGAAACUGCUGUGACUCGAGUCCGGUAGGGGAGUGUGGAAUUCCCGGUGUAGCGGCGAAAUGCGCAGAUAUCGGGAGGAACACCAGUAGCGAAGGCGGCACUCUGGGCCGGUACUGACGCUGAGGAGCGAAAGCGUGGGGAGCGAACAGG
rnacentral:rRNA from 1 species